ACCUGAGUGACGAAUAAAAUCGUUCGGAUUCCCACUGAUAUUACAUGAUUAUUAUAACCAGCUACUUCUGACGGAU
rfam:Triticum urartu cultivar G1812 contig945818, whole genome shotgun sequence.